CUGGUCCCUGCCCAUCAAAGCUGAUGCUGAGGUGUGGUCCCAUGGCAGUAGUGUGUUGAGCUGUCAUGGGAGUUUGGCUCCGUAUCCUCCCUUCUUUCCAUGUCCCCUUGUCCUUCUGUUUUCCACCGUACAGUGAAGCACCAUGGGUCCUUAUCAGACAUGGCCUCCUGACCUUGAGCUUUUCGGGAUCCCAAACUCUGUUCCCAAAUAUACCUAUGCUCUUUAUAAAUUACCCAGCCCCAUGAGUUCUGUUACAACAACAGAAAGUGGACUAUCACAUGCGGUCAAAUGAUGCAAACAGUAUCCUUCGCCUGCACGAAGGAAGCAAAUCACUUGGGGAAUGACAAAAGAGAGUUCUCUUGACCCAUCGGAGAAGGCUCAGUUGAGGUUUUCUGGAAGAAGAGCUGUGUGGAGACAGCUGAACUUUACAGAUGCCCAUGCCCAAAGCAAGAGUGAUGCAGAGAAGACUCUGUGAGACAGAUGGGACAACCCCUCUCAUUGGACCUCUGGUCCAUGAUGACAGAAACUCACAAGUCUAUUACAGUUGUACAUUAAAAAAAGAAGACGAGAAAGCUGGGCUCGGUGGCUUAUUCCUGUAACUCCAGCACUUGAGAUGUUAAGACAGGAAGACAGCUGUGAGGUUCAGGCCAGCCUGGAUUAUACAGCAAGACAAGUCUCAAAGAAGUUACUGUCCGGUGCUUCAGUCCUGAGACUCACUGUUGUUGAAACUUGAGAAGAAACAGCACCAUGCUUCUAGCCAUGAAUAUUAGCAUGGCUCAUGCAAUAAGGCCUGUUCAUCUUUAUUUCCAUUUUGAUCAUGUGACCUUCCCUUCUGUUAUCUGGCUGGAACCGCAGCACCAAUGCCUGGGAGCAGCAAACGCAACAAGAGUCACCAAACAGCAGAGAAGACCUGGGAGGCCUCUUAUAGCAUCAUUUCCAUCUUUCAGAUGAGGGGACAAGGGGACAGACGGCAUAAAACCUCAUGCUUCCAGUCUAGAGCUCUUUUUACCAGUCCUUGUCUCGAGGCAGGAUCUGAUGUGGGGUGUGUUGCGAAGGAAGUCCGACGGGCCAGGUGACCACGAGUCCUGCCUUCAUGCUCUAACUGCAGUGGUUCAGCACUAUUCCCAUAUGGACAAAUACAAUAGCUGGGAUAUUACUGUUAUGACACACACUCUCAGACCA